rnacentral:rRNA from 1 species
CUAGUAUAGAGGGAGCCGAGUGUGUGAGAAGUGUAAUGUGGACGUUGUAGUGACAUCGCUGUCAGUGUUGUUGUUCCUGUGGCGUGACUGUGCUGAUCUUCUUAGUCUGUAUGGUUUGUUUUUUUUUUUUUUUUCAAGCAGAAGACGGCAUACGAGAUUUCUGCCUGUCUCGUGGGCUCGGAGAUGUGUAUAAGAGACAGGUCCUAAGGUAGCGAAAUUCCUUGUCAGGUAAGUUCUGACCCGCACGAAUGGCGUAACGACUUGAGAGCUGUCUCAACAACAUACCCGGCGAAAUUGAAGUACUGGUAAAGAUGCCAGUUACCCGUGAUAAGACGGAAAGACCCCAUGGAGCUUUACUGUAACUUGAUAUUGAAUUUUUGUAUUACAUGUACAGGAUAGGUGGGAGACAGAGAACUAAUGCCGCCAGGUGUUAGGGAGUCGAUGUUGGGAUACCACUCUUGUAAUAUGAAGGUUCUAACCUGCACCCGUGAAUCCGGGUGGGGGACACUGUCAGGUGGACAGUUUGACUGGGGCGGUCGCCUCCUAAAAGGUAACGGAGGCGUUCAAAGGUUGGUUCAGCACGGACGGAAAUCGUGCAACGAGUGCAAACGCAUAAACCAGCCUAACUGCGAGACCGACAAGUCGAGCAGUAACGAAAGUUGGAGUUAGUGAUCCGGCGGUAUGAGAGUGGAAUUGCCGUCGCUCAACGGAUAAAAGCUACCCUGGGGAUAACAGGCUGAUCUCCCCCAAGAGUCCACAUCGACGGGGAGGUUUGGCACCUCGAUGUCGGCUCAUCGCAUCCUGGAGCUGUAGUCGGUUCCAAGGGUUGGGCUGUUCGCCCAUUAAAGCGGUACGCGAGCUGGGUUCAGAACGUCGCGAGACAGUUCGGUCCCUAUCUAUCACGGGCGUAGGAAAUUUGAGGAGAGCUGUCCUUAGUACGAGAGGACCGGGAUGGACGUACCUCUGGUGCACCAGUUGUUCUGCCAAGGGCAUAGCAGGGUAGCUAAGUACGGACGGGAUAAACGCUGAAGGCAUCUAAGCGUGAAGCCCCCUUCGAGAUAAGAUUUCCCAUAGCGUAGGCUAGUAAGGACCCAUGAAGACUACAUGGUUGAUAGGCCGGAGGUGGAAGUGCAGUAAUGUAUGUAGCUGACCGGUACUAAUAGUCCGAGGGCUUGACCAA